rnacentral:lncRNA from 1 species
GCGACACGGGAGGUGGAAACCGCCGGCGUCGCCCGCUCCUCCCCCCUCCUCCCUCCGCCGCCUCGCCGCCGCCCGAGCGGCCGCCGGCAAAGCCGCGCGGCCGCAAGGACGGCGGCGGCGGGGCUUCACCCUCGUCUUCGUCUCCCUCUCCCGUCGCGGUGGGGGGCCGCGCGCGGGACAGCGAAGACCGCCCAAAUCCGGGCUGCCGCGGCCGGAUCUGGCGGGCAGGCCGCCGGCAGCGGGUCGAUGGCGGCGGGGAUGGAGGUGGCGGCGAGGCUGGCGACGGAGGUCAGAUCUAGUGGUGAGGCUGGCAUCGGCGACCGGAUCCAGGCGCUGGAGAUGGUUUUGCCCCAGUGGCGGUCGCGACGCGGAGAGCUCGGCGACGGCGUUGGGGCGGUUGCGUUGGCGGUGUCGGCGGUUUGCGACGACGACUGCUGGCGUCGGUGGCUGGUGACAGCGGCAUCGGCGACGGCGGCCGACUUGCAGUGGCCGUGA